rnacentral:rRNA from 1 species
UGACCAAGUUAAACGGCCGCGGUACUCUAACCGUGCAAAGGUAGCACAAUCAAUUGUUCUUUAAAUGAGGACUAGAAUCAACGGCAUCACGAGGAUCCUACUGUCUCCCCCCUCUAAUCAGUGAAAUUGAUCUCCCCGUGAAGAAGCGGGGAUAUAAAUAUAAGACGAGAAGACCCCAUGGAGCUUUAAACCUACAACACCCAUCUAUUUUAUACCCCUAUAUUUAUAUGACUAUGUUUGUUUGGUUUUAGGUUGGGGUGACCACGGAGUAUAAAACAACCUCCAUGAAGAAAAGACUAAUAAUCUUUAUCAAAGAAAUACAUUUCUAAGAAUUAAUACAUUAACUUUUAAUGAUCCAAUAUUUGAUCAACGAACCAAGUUACCCUGGGGAUAACAGCGCAAUCCACCUUAAGAGCCCCUAUCGACAGGUGGGUUUACGACCUCGAUGUUGGAUCAGGGUGUCACAGUGGUGCAGCAGCUACUAAUGGUUCGUUUGUUCAACGAUUAAAACCCU